GUGUUACCUCUGACUCUAGAAAUGUACCCAUUAAUCCUUAAGACUGAACCUGUCCCUUAUGUUAUUCUGCUGUUGCAGCCCAGGCAAAGGCACUUGUCACCCAGAUAAGGAGCAGAAAGUUACCUUGCAGAGCUAAGCAGUGCCCACUGGUCCCUUUCGCUUCUCCAUGGAAUCAAAGAAGGGAAAGCCUAAUGGCCUCGAGGUUCUGCGUUAUUGAUCUCCUACUAUCUGGCCCAACUGAAAGAGACAAAUGGGUAUCCCUGAGACAUUCCUCCAAAGGGCGCCUUAGGAAGUCUAGGCAGUUUAUGUCCUAUUAGUUCAGCUCCAGAGCAUAGUUCUUGAGGAUUCUAUCUACAUGUUUUUUCCUCCAAUAUCUUUAAUUCAUCCUGCCACAGUACCUAGCAGAGCUUCUCUGAUGGAGGAGCAUUUUCAUUGUAGACACGCUUCCACCCUAUAUUUGGAAACAUUAACAUAAAAAAUACUUGUUUCUUUAAAUACCCCCCCCAUGAUCCUAUUUUCUGGUGGCCUUGGCAUCCCAAGAGACUCGUUGAGAUGCUCUGGAAAGCCAUCCGAAGUCACUCUGGUUUUCUGAGUCUGUCCUCACUGAGCUGCUGGCAGGAGUGGCAUCUUCUUCAACAAAGAGGCCUUUACUUUCUCUUUGUGUGUGUGAGAGAGAGAGAAAGAGAAAGGAAAAGAGACCCUCUAUCCUAGAGGAGUAUAAACGAGGAUAUAACCAAUUGAUAGCAUAGGUUAGACUGGGUAAGAUGGCGGAUUGCCCCCAAAUACUCACUGGAAAAGUUCCAACUGACCAGCCUGAAUGGUGAUUCCUGCUUUAAAGCUACUAAACUUGAAUCAGAAAACUGGCCACAUUCCACGCAAAGUGGAAUAGCAGCGAGGUCUUCCUGUAUAUCAAACUGUUGCUAACAAUGAAAGAUGAACUCGGUCCUCAAAAUGAACUAACUUCUCCUCGGCUGUAUACACUCUGACUCCUUUGGCUAGCAACUGUUCAGAACAGAAUGUGGAUGUGGAAAGAGUGGGUUGGAGAACUUGAAGCAGAGGCAGAGCCCACUUUGACUACUUUCUACAGAGGAGAGCUUUCACCCCAGAGUCUUGCAAUGGACUCAAUUUUGAGUUUAUAUAUACAUAUCUAUACUACAUUUCUACUGUACAUCAGUGUUCUCCCAGCCUUACUCAAAUAUUAAAUUCUAAUAGUUCUUAAAGAAUUAGUGUCCUGCCUUGCUCUUUGUUAGCCUCAGUCUCUAGCAGGAAGGGAAGGGAAGGCAUCCUGGCUGGGCCCUUAAGGACGUUUUUCUCUAUACUGAUAUUUGAGGUACAUUGACCUUUAGACCAAUCCAAAGAAAGUCUGUGGCCACAGAGUAAUCUAACAGGAAGAGGCAUUCUGUUCUCUUCACUAUUUCAAACUUUGUUCCACUGAGACUUGAGCCUUAGGUAAAAUUUUCUUACCACCCUUAAAAAGUGAUUUGGGAACCAAAGUAGAACACAUCCAAGCUCUACCCACUCCACACAGAAAGAAUAAAUAAGGCAUAUGUUAGUCUCUGCCAGGCUAAGACAGAAUACAUCCUAUCCCAUUAGGGCCUAAGGUCUGCAUCAUGGCCUUAUAGAAUGCAGUGGUUGUCAUCACAGUCAGGAGAAAGUGAGAUAUUUACAGUUCUGUAUUAUAAUCCAAGCCACAGCACACACAUGGACCUGCUAGGAACCUAGCUUGAUCUGUUCCAGGGAGGUAGAGUAGUAGCUUGGCUCCAGAAAUCAAGAUUGCAUUCUCCCCAACCAAGCCACAGAUUCAAGGGUCAAAUCUCCUGCCUGGAGAUCUCUCAGAAGAACUGGGUAUCUGCUUGUAUUGUGAGCAUUUGGUAGGCAAGCAUCAAACACAGAACCAGGUCAUAGUCAGAAUGAGGCAUCUUUGUAGGAGCCUAGAUUGUGGGCAGGAUUCAAAUAAAUUUGUUGUGGAAUAGGGGACUCAGAAACUAUGAACUGCAUGCCUCCCUAAGGCUUAGGGACAUGGAUACUAUGAAACAAUCUAAGAGUCCUUUUGUAAGCCCCAUCCAAGAGUUCUUAGGCCACCGAGGGUCUGUGACAACUUCAAUGGACUGGACUUGGUAGAGAAGAUGUUGAUCUUGUUAUGUAGAAUUUGUGCUGGAUGUAGACCGAAGCAGCAGGUCAAGGUUGAAGUCUCACUAGGAGAGUCACUGGCACUUUGCCAUCUUGUGUUUACCUGCCAUACCCCAGACGAGUACAUUGCUCAGGGAUCCAGUAGCAGUCACUGCUGCCUAUGUAGGCAAGUUGCCUGCAGUGAUGAAAAUGACUCCUCGGACAGUGUGAGUCCAUACUGGGGUUGAAUUUAGCAAAAUGUGCUCUAUGUUAUUGGGUAUGUUGUGUGUUGAAGGUCCUAAAGGAGCCCUGUGUAAUGUAUAACCCUGCAGUUGAAGGUAGUGAAAGAGUUGCUGGAUUAGUAACCUGCGUUAUGAGAUAGCAUCAGUGACGGGGAAUGUGUUUACUGGAUUUUUUAUCAAAUAAUGUAGGCAAUUUAUUCUGGACAGAAUUUGAUAGAGAGCAAUAAGCCAUUGGGAGGGUAGCUGUGCUUUCGGCUCAGAGUAGCUUCACACUGGUUGGCAAUUGUAAGGGAAGGCUGACUGGCUAGAAGACACAAGACUGUGGUAUAUAGUUCCAUAGUUUUCUACCCAGGAGGCCAUGUGCCCUUCUCUUCAGAAUGCAAGGGUGAGAAUCAAGGUUCUCAAUGUUCCUCACAAGGCCGAGACUCUGGCAGGACUUCACUAUGGAGAAAUCUGAUUGGGAU
rnacentral:lncRNA from 1 species